CUUCGCGGUGGCAUAUCGGUGCGGAUCGUCGCCGAACUCGGCCAGCACCCGGGCUCCGAGGAUCGGUCCCAGCCCGGGCUGG
rnacentral:sRNA from 1 species